rnacentral:rRNA from 1 species
GACGAACGCUGGCGGCGUGCUUAACACAUGCAAGUCGAACGGAAAGGCCCUGCUCUUGUGGGGUGCUCGAGUGGCGAACGGGUGAGUAACACGUGAGUAACCUGCCCUUGACUUUGGGAUAAUUUCAGGAAACUGGGGCUAAUACCGGAUAGGAGCUCCUGCUGCACGGUGGGGGUUGGAAAGUUUCGGCGGUUGGGGAUGGACUCGCGGCUUAUCAGCUUGUUGGUGGGGUAGUGGCCUACCAAGGCUUUGACGGGUAGCCGGCCUGAGAGGGUGACCGGCCACAUUGGGACUGAGAUACGGCCCAGACUCCUACGGGAGGCAGCAGUGGGGAAUAUUGCACAAUGGGCGGAAGCCUGAUGCAGCAACGCCGCGUGCGGGAUGACGGCCUUCGGGUUGUAAACCGCUUUCGCCUGUGACGAAGCGUGAGUGACGGUAAUGGGUAAAGAAGCACCGGCUAACUACGUG